rnacentral:rRNA from 1 species
AUUGAACGCUGGCGGCAGGCCUAACACAUGCAAGUCGAACGGUAACAGGAUGAAGCUUGCUUCUUUGCUGACGAGUGGCGGACGGGUGAGUAAUGUCUGGGAAACUGCCUGAUGGAGGGGGAUAACUACUGGAAACGGUAGCUAAUACCGCAUAACGUCGCAAGACCAAAGAGGGGGACCUUCGGGCCUCUUGCCCUCGGAUGUGCCCAGAUGGGAUUAGCUAGUAGGUGGGGUAACGGCUCACCUAGGCGACGAUCCCUAGCUGGUCUGAGAGGAUGACCAGCCACACUGGAACUGAGACACGGUCCAGACUCCUACGGGAGGCAGCAGUGGGGAAUAUUGCACAAUGGGCGCAAGCCUGAUGCAGCCAUGCCGCGUGUAUGAAGAAGGCCUUCGGGUUGUAAAGUACUUUCAGCGGGGAGGAAGGGAGUAAAGUUAAUACCUUUGCUCAUUGACGUUACCCGCAGAAGAAGCACCGGCUAACUCCGUG